GGAAUGGUUUACAUAGGUAAGUUAAAACGAUUGCUAAUCGCUUGGAGUAACUGCUCCUUAGGUGUUCGAAUCACCUCCAUUCCG
rnacentral:tRNA from 1 species